rnacentral:rRNA from 1 species
AGAGUUGAUUCUGGCUCAGGAUGAACGCUAGCGACAGGCUUAACACAUGCAAGUCGAGGGGCAGCACGGGAGUAGCAAUACAACUGGUGGCGACCGGCGCACGGGUGAGUAACGCGUAUGCAACCUACCUAUCAGAGGGGAAUAACCCGGCGAAAGUCGGACUAAUACCGCAUAAAACAGGGGCACCGCAUGGUGAUAUUUGUUAAAGAAAUUCGCUGAUAGAUGGGCAUGCGUUCCAUUAGGUAGUUGGUGAGGUAACGGCUUACCAAGCCGACGAUGGGUAGGGGAACUGAGAGGUUGGUCCCCCACACUGGUACUGAGACACGGACCAGACUCCUACGGGAGGCAGCAGUGAGGAAUAUUGGUCAAUGGGCGAGAGCCUGAACCAGCCAAGUCGCGGUAGAAGGAAGAAGGAUCUAUGGUUCGUAAACUUCUUUGCAGGGGAAUAAAGUGCAGGACGUGUCCUGUUUUGUAUGUACCCUGAGAAUAAGGAUCGGCUAACUCCGUGCCAGCCGCCGC